rnacentral:rRNA from 1 species
CCUACGGGUGGCAGCAGUGAGGAAUAUUGGUCAAUGGACGAGAGUCUGAACCAGCCAAGUAGCGUGAAGGAUGACUGCCCUAUGGGUUGUAAACUUCUUUUAUAUGGGAAUAAAGUGUUCCACGUGUGGGCUUUUGUAUGUACCAUAUGAAUAAGGAUCGGCUAACUCCGUGCCAGCAGCCGCGGUAAUACGGAGGAUCCGAGCGUUAUCCGGAUUUAUUGGGUUUAAAGGGAGCGUAGGUGGAUUGUUAAGUCAGUUGUGAAAGUUUGCGGCUCAACCGUAAAAUUGCAGUUGAAACUGGCAGUCUUGAGUACAGUAGAGGUGGGCGGAAUGCGUGGUGUAGCGGUGAAAUGCUUAGAUAUCACGAAGAACUCCGAUUGCGAAGGCAGCUCACUGGACUGCAACUGACACUGAGGCUCGAAAGUGUGGGUAUCAAACAGGAUUAGAUACCCUUGUAGUC